GCCAGGUGUGGUGGCGGGCGCCUGUAAUCCCACCUACUCGGGAGGCUGAGGCAGGAGGAUCGCUUGCGGCCAGGAGUUGGAGGCUGCAGUGAGCCAUGAUUGUGCCACUGCAUUCCAGCCUGGGCAACAGAGUGACACCUGUCUCUU
rnacentral:SRP_RNA from 1 species